CCUACGGGCGGCUGCAGUGGGGAAUAUUGGACAAUGGGGGCAACCCUGAUCCAGCUAUGCCGCGUGUGUGAAGAAGGCCCUCGGGUUGUAAAGCACUUUCAGUGAGGAAGAACGCCUGGUGGUUAAUACCCAUCAGGAAAGACAUCACUCACAGAAGAAGCACCGGCUAACUCCGUGCCAGCAGCCGCGGUAAUACGGAGGGUGCGAGCGUUAAUCGGAAUUACUGGGCGUAAAGCGCGCGUAGGUGGCUUGAUAAGCCGGUUGUGAAAGCCCCGGGCUCAACCUGGGAACGGCAUCCGGAACUGUCAAGCUAGAGUGCAGGAGAGGAAGGUAGAAUUCCCGGUGUAGCGGUGAAAUGCGUAGAGAUCAGGAGGAAUACCAGUGGCGAAGGCGGCCUUCUGGACUGACACUGACACUGAGGUGCGAAAGCGUGGGUAGCAAACAGGAUUAGAUACCCCAGUAGUC
rnacentral:rRNA from 1 species